rnacentral:rRNA from 1 species
GACAGGAGGAGCUAGCGUUAUUCAGUAUGAUUGGGUGUAAAGAGUGCGUAGAGUACUUUGUAAGUUUAGUCAGAAAUGCCGUAUUUAUAGUGUGGAAGAGACUAAAAACUUCAAAGUUUGAGUCAAAUAGGUGGUAAGAAAACUUCUGGAGUAGCGCUUAAAUGUGUUGAUACCUGAAAGAAGACCGGCUGGCGAAGGCGCUUACCAAAGUUUGUACUGACCUUGAGGUGACGAAGGCGCGGGGAUCAAACGGG